UACAGAGGGUGCGAGCGUUAAUCGGAAUUACUGGGCGUAAAGCGUGCGUAGACGGUUACGUAAGUCGGAUGUGAAAGCCCCGGGCUCAACCUGGGAAUGGCAUUCGAGACUGCGUAGCUAGGAUGCGGAAGAGGGAAGCGGAAUUUCCGGUGUAGCGGUGAAAUGCGUAGAUAUCGGAAGGAACACCAGUGGCGAAAGCGGCUUCCUGGUCCAGCAUCGACGUUCAGGCACGAAAGCGUGGGGAGCAAACAGG
rnacentral:rRNA from 1 species